UACGUAGGGAGCAAGCGUUGUCCGGAAUCAUUGGGCGUAAAGCGCGCGUAGGUGGCCUCAUAAGUCCGCUGUGAAAAGUCAAAGGCUCAACCUUUGAAAGCCGGUGGAUACUGUGAGGCUAGAGUACGGAAGAGGCGAGUGGAAUUCCUGGUGUAGCGGUGGAAUGCGUAGAUAUCUGGAGGAACACCGGUGGCGAAGGCGGCAUCCUGGACCGGCAUUGACGCUGAGGCGCGAAAGCGUGGGGGAGCAAACAGG
rnacentral:rRNA from 1 species